UGGGGAAUCUUCCGCAAUGGGCGAAAGCCUGACGGAGCAAUGCCGCGUGAGUGAAGAAGGCCUUCGGGUUGUAAAACUCUGUCCUUAUCGAAGAGAGGUGGGUAUGUGAAUAAUGUACCUAUAGGACGGUAGAUAAGGAGGAAGCCCGGCGUAACUACGUGCCAGCAGCCGCGGUAAUACGUAGGGGCGGAGCGUGUCCGGAAUCACUGGGCGUAAGGGCGCGUAGGCGGUUUAAUAAGUCAGUGGUGAAAACUGAGGGCACAACCCUCAGCCUGCCACUGAUACUGUUAGACUUGAGUAUGGAAGAGGAGAAUGGAAUUCCUAGUGUAGCGGUGAAAUGCGUAGAUAUUAGGAGGAACACCAGUGGCGAAGGCGGCUUACUGGACGGUAACUGACGUUGAGGCUCGAAAGCGUGGGGGAGCAAACAGGAUUAGAUACCC
rnacentral:rRNA from 1 species